GGAGGAAAAUAUUCUAAAAUUAAAUUACAGCGAUGGUUACACAGCCUUGUCAAUAUACUAAAAACAUUGAAUGGCACGUGUUAAAUGGGUGAAUUAUAUGACUCUGCGUCCCCCACUUCCAGAGAGAGAGAAGUUGCCGUCUUGAAAAAUAAGGCUAUCGGCAGUCUGGGAGCGGGACGCUGUGAGAUGAGGCAAAGAAACCCUGCGGAGACCUGGAAACGAUUUUUCUCUCCCCAAAUAUAAUUAAUCAAUUAUGUCC
rnacentral:lncRNA from 1 species